AGGAGGAGGAGGAGGAAUAGGAACUACAGAGAGCUCUCAAAUCUAUCCAUUGUGUGAGGAUAGCAUGGGCAGAUGGCAGUCUGUAACCUGGAAGAGGACACUCACCAGAACCCACCAAGCUGGUACCCUGACCUUGGAAUUGUAGCAUCCAGAACUGGAAGAAAUACAUUUCUGUUGCUUAUAAGCCCACCCAUCCAUGGUACACUGCUGUAGCAGCCCUGAUGUGCUAAGGUACUGGUUGAGCCCAAGACAAGUGUCUAAAUGCAAAAGAAGGAGGCAGAAGGAGUUUGAGUCUGAGCAGGAAGCAGAGGCUGGAGUGGGGCCAGGCCAGGACUCGGCCUUGGUUACUGACUUUGAAGAUGGAAGGAGUCCACACACCAAGGGAGGCUGGCAGCCUUCAGAAGUUGAGAAAAGCAAGGAAACAGUUUCUCCGCUGGAGCCCUGGAAGGAACACAGCCCUGGGACACCUUGAUGUUAGCCCAGAGAGACCCGUGUCCGACUUCUGACCUCAGAGCCACGAGGUCAUGAAUGAGUGUGUUUUAAGCACCCCGUGGCAACUGUCACGGCAGUGGUAAGAGACAGACACACAGCACCGUCAUGCUGGUGCAGAGGCCUGGGACCCCUGGGCUCCUCCAGCCAGCCAGUCUCUGCUGUGGGAAUGGGCCUCCCUUGCCAAAUGGAGGCAGACACAAGGAACAGAGCCUCUGGCUUUAAAACAGCUUUCGGGGGCCCUGGGUGGACACAGACUCUUCCUAGGACUGCCUGCCUUCCAUUAGGGCACUGUCCAUACCAGCUACUACCGGAGGCACUGAUCAAGGAGUUGCCCUGAAGAUUCAAGAAAUACCGUGGCAACCAAGCCCGAGUCCCAGCUUCUGGGAAGCUUAUGGGCAGAAGAAGAAACAGGAAUGGGAACAAGUUGGAAUCAAAAGCCAUUAAGACUCAGAAUAAUUAAGCCAUUAAGACUCAGACUAAUUAAGUCCCAAUGACAGAGUAUCGGGAAGUGGCACGGAUGGCGCAGGAGCCUCCCCUGGCUUCACCCCAAGCUACACAGUCUGCCUUGGAACAAGAUGACCCGGCACCUGUCCUCAGCCCUAGGAAGCUAUGUGACCCAGCAGCUGCUUCCUUCCUGGGGCCCAGGCUCCUGCUGUGGAACAUGGUACCUUCCUCUUUUCAGUCUUUCUCCUUCUGAUGCUGAGCAGGAGAAGGGAAGAGGGAUGGGCCUGCCGUCAGUCAGUUAUCCUCAGACAUCUUUGACCGCCUACAUUUGCCGGCCUCAGCUGGAGGGUCACACACGUAUUUUUUAGUGAUUCCUUAAAACACUCUAAAGCAAUUCAGUGAAAGAAGCCAGACACAGAGAACAGCUAUCUUAUGAUUUCCUUUAUGAAGAGUACUUGGAAGAGGAGAAUUCAUAGACAGAAAGAGGCACAGUAGGUGCCAGGGGGUGGGUGGGAGGGUGGGGGUAGGGACUGGGGAAUUGGUGUCUUAUGGGUGCAGAUUUCAUUUAGGGGUGAUGAAAAGGUUCUGGUGGUGAUGUCACAUAAGAAUCUAAAUUUACGGGAUGUUGCUACAUCGUAUAAUUUAAAAAAGUGAGAAUGGUAAAUUUUGUGUUAGUUAUAUUUUACCAUAAUUUAAACAAAUGCUUUAAAGCAGAAAUGAUUCAUCCAUUUUAUAGAUGAAGAAACGGAGGUUUAAAGAGAUACACUGACUUGCCCAACAGCUUAUAGCAGAGAAUAGAGGAGUUGGGAUUUGAACCUACGUUUGGCUCUAAAUCCAGGGUACUUCUCCCGCCCACCGACCCAUUCUCAUGCAUAGUGAAGGGACAGAGAAAUAGGACACAGGCGGGCCUCAGAGGAUCCUUCCACAGAUGAGGAACAGGCUUGACGCUGAGGUCAUGAGCAGGACUAGAGGAGGAGUCUGGGGCCCAGCCCUCUUACCCUUAGGAUUUAGUUUCCCUUGACAACCUUUGUUUUCCCCAGUGACAUUGGGUGCAGCUGGCCUCGGAGAGCAGCAACCCAAAGCCCCUUUGCAGGAAGAAGUUUAUAGACACACCUGAAUGCUCUCUGUUUGUAGCAAUGGUCACUAGAGAGAACUCUGAUAAUCCUGCCACCCAGAGGGAGGGAACACGAGGGAGGUUGGUGCCCACCCAGAGUCGCCCAGCAAACCUGCAGAAGUUUUUAAAAUCAGGACCCAAGUCCAGCUCGGUUGUUCCCCUCCACUCAGGUGGGAUGCUCUAGACUCAGAGUUUGACACAGAGAGAAGCUGGGCCAUCUCAUGGGACAGACAGGUUCUACCCUUGCACCAGAAUAUUCCAGAACACAGAGGGGCAGGUGGCUGGAGAACACGCCUAUUGGCAAAUAGGAAACAGGAGCCCAGGGAGGGCAGGGCUACUCCCAGGGGCCUUCAGAGUUGGUGAAAGAAAAGACAGAGCCAUUGUUAGUUACUCCCCUCCUCUGUAUCAAAUUACUCCAAAGCUCAAUGGCUUGAUACAACAAACAUUAAUGAUCUUAGUUUCUGGGGUCAGAAAUCUGGUUCCAUUUAGCUGGGUGCCUCUAGCUCAACGUCACUCAGGUGUUGGCCGGGGCUGUAAUCUCAGCAGAAGACGUUCCUGGGGUGGAGUGGUGAGGCGGGGGGGCUGUUAGGGUUUAAACAUUGGGUGUCCCCCAAAGCUCGUGUGAGACAGGUUUAGAGGAGAAAUGAGUGGGCUAUGAGAGCCUUCAUCCAAUCAGUGAAUUUAUUCCCUGAUAGGGAUUAACUGAGUGGUGGCUGAGGGUGGGUAGGGUGUGGCUGGAGAAGGCACUGGGGGCCUGCCUUCGUAUCUGGAAAGUGGAGACUCAUUCUGCUUCCUGGGGUGAUUUCCUGAGCCACUCCUAUACCACACUCUUCUGCCAUGAUGUCCUGCCUCAUCUCGGGUCCCAAAGAAUGGAAUUGGCUGUCUAUGGACUAAGACCUCUGAAGCUGCAAGUCCCCAAAUAAACUUUUCCUCUUCUAA
rnacentral:lncRNA from 1 species